GUUGGCACGAAACGAUGGAAAAAAGUCAUUGUUUGCUGUUAUAUAUCAUAUUUGUUUUUUUGUUUUUAUUUGAUCAUAUCUCAAGCCCUGGAGUUUGGUAUGAAUUGUUUCAUUUUUUUGUCAUGUUGGGGACUUACUCAGCUUACUCAUAUACUGUAUAGAUUUUGCUCACUGUUGACGACCGUUUUGAUCUUUAGUUGCUUAAACAUCCUUGCUAUUUGGUCUCUGCUUGAUAAAUGUCAAAUGCAAUCAUAUAUCUUAAUUUAACGGACAUGUGUUAAACAUGUACUCACUAUUAUCCUAAUAGUUUCUGAUGAUAUCAAUAAAAUGUCA
rnacentral:lncRNA from 1 species